AAGACCUGAGCCCUGCCCCAACCCCGGUGAACCACACCAGCACAACACAAGGGGCUGUGGCCCUGGGUCUGGACCACUGGGGGCUGCGGAAGCGGUUCCUUCUCCCCUAAAGCAGCGUUCACCUGGAGGUAGGCAGGCGGCCCCUGGUGAGGAACAACACAGGAUGGUCUUACAAGAAACCUUCAGGCGCGCAAAACACUUAACAUAUGGCGCCAGAUGACUGCGGUCAAAGGGGGAAGGUGACCAGAAUUCCUGCUCCUGGCACCCAGAGGGAUUGUACGUGAAUUCCCGGUCCCUUCUGUGAGCCUGCAGGCUGCUCUGCUGUGGGUGAGUGGUGGCACAGCCUUCUCUCCUGGGGUCCUUCUCUGCCUCCCUUUACAAAUGAGGAAGGGGACACCCAGAGAGGAGGCCACGCGGGCGGGAGGAGAGCCUAAGCUGGUCUUCUGCAGCCCCAUGGGUCUUCAAAUCUUAGGGUGGCAUGACCCCACAGCCCCAAGGCUCAACACAGGCCUAGGUAGGGUACUCUACAGCCUUCUGUCUUCCAGUUAAAAGAGCACCAGGCACGCCUGUAAUUCCAGCAGCUGAGGCUGAGGAGGCUGAGGCUGGGAAUCCCAAGUUCAAAGCCAGCCUCAGCAAUUUAGCAAAACUCUGUCUCAAAAUAAAACCUAAAAAGGGCUGGCUCAGUGGUUAAGUGCCCAUGGGUUCUGCCUCUGGUACAAAAAAAAAAAGUGAGGGCUGGGGUUGUGGCUCAAGUGGUAGAGCACUUGCCUAGCAUGUGCAAGGCACUGGGUUCUAUCCUCAGCACCACACAAAAAUAAAUAAAUAAAGGUAUUGUGUCCAAUUACAACUAAAAAACAAGAUUUUUUUUUAAAAAGCGUGCCAAAUGAUACAGGAACUGUUAAAGCUCCAUCCUUGUCCCCAUGCCAAUCCAAUAACAAAGACAUGGUUUUGAGGAAAAGAAGUUUUAUUGCUUUCUAGCAAAGGAGAAGCACAGAGAACUCCUGUCCCAGAAGCUGUGAUUCUGCCCAUCAAGGGGAUCAGGAGGCUUUUAAGGAGAUGAUUCAAAAGCUUGUGUUCUCUGUUGGAGCUGUAAUUCACUUGUUAACUUGGGAGAUAGUCAUUUCUGAGAUCUUCUGGAACCAUCCCCAAAGUCUGAAUUACUUUGUUCCUGUGGUGUGUAUGUGUGUGCUCAAGGACAGGUAACUCUGCCUAGGAUGGAUUGCUAAUCCUGCUUCCCCCUGAGAUUAGGGAGAAGGAGCAAUUAGGGAGUAGCAGGGAGAGAAAGAGAAAGAAUGUGAGGAUGGUCUUGGGCCUGAGCCUAAGCAAUUCCAUUUUAAAAACUCCAGUUUGAAACCUGCAGUCUCACCACACUUGCCUAACAGAGCCCUCUAGUAUGGCUCCCCGGCACAAACAAGUCACUUCUCCCCACCCUGAUAAACUCAGAGUGAAGCCUCUGGAAAGCUGGCCUCCUCAGAUAGGAGGGAAAGACCUGAGAAAAGGUACAGGUGAAAAGAUCAGGGUGGGGACCACCAGGCCAGAUGUUUUAACCCCAGGGUAAAUGAUGUCCCUGAGAAAUCCCGUGGUAGCUGAUAAGGAUUGAAGAGGGGUCAAAAGCCCCAAAAUUAAGUAUAAAUAAUAGAGCAAAUGAACAGAUAUUCAGCCAGACGAAACUGAUGCCUACAAGCUGGAGAGCCUGAUGAGGACCUGGACUGACAUCCCAUCACCUGUCAUUCUUUGCUGAUCCCCUGCGUCUUCCUCACUGCUCUCCAACUCUACAGCCAUAUCUUGACCCUGGUGAGAGCCGUAACUUCUCCCUACAGCCCCCUCCUCAGCCAGCCGCCUGCUGCGUCCCAGGAGAAGCCUGCCUUGGUUCCUGACCUGAUCACCUCCGUCUGAGUGAGUGGGCAUCUGUGGACUUAGAGCCUAAGGCUGGAGACUUUAGACCUGGCACUUGAGCUUAAUUUGCAGAGGGAAUGUCUGUCAUUAGCCUGUCAUGAUUAAGUGUGUUUGCAGGCUUAGAAUUAAUUAAUCUAGGAUUGUUUGCUGUGAAUUAAUUAAUCUAGGAUUGUUUGCUGUGAAUUGAUUAUGUCUAUUGCAGUGCCCAGCAUUAAGGAUUGCCGUUUUCUUGAUUAAGAACCUACAGAGUGAAAUUGUAUUGAGCGAGUUGAGUGAAUAAAGCAUUGACUAGGGCAGAA